rnacentral:ncRNA from 2 species
UCGUCACCGCCGGGAGAGUUCGGCCGCAAGGCCGGCGCCGAAGGAGCAACCGCCCCGGAAUCUCUCAGGCUUAAGGGACCGGUGGUGGCGC